rnacentral:piRNA from 1 species
UAAUGUCAUCUGUAGCCUAUGUGUCA